ACAGAAAACAGUAUAUGGUUAGGAAUCAGGUCGGAGUCUAAUUACAGUAUUCCCCAAGGCCCCAAUCCUUUUCUUUUGCAAUCUAUAAUAUUCUACGUACUAUUAAGGAUUUUACAAUGCAAAAAUCCAACAUAUGUUCUUUUAGGCUAAUUACUAAAUAAAUCUAACGAUAGUCCAUGUGGCGGCGGAGGUGUAGCAAUGGUAGUUUGAAGCAGAUUAGGCGGCCGCAAGCGUCUUUGGCGCCAAGGCUGUUGAGUGAUGGAACUGGCCGUGUGGCGAUUCGUUUUCUAUUCUCCACCCUUUAAGGGAGUGAAAGGAAAGCAUCCAGUUGGGGUGGUCUGCAGUUCUGAUCACCUCGAGCAGCACCACAUAAUCAAAGUUCCAAACAAUAGUGCUGCACUUCUGCCCAGUGGCGAAGCUAUGUAUCCCCGAGGCUGGCUUCGCCGCUGCUUCUGCCUCCAGCAAGCAUUUCGAUCACUUUGAUGUUUAUAGGUGGCUUAACAUGAUCAUUUGAUGUGUAUCUUAUGUAGAAUAUUUGAAUGAUCUACACGCACCAACUCGAUGUACGGCGACUCCAUGGAGCAAGUCGAGUUCGUGGAGCAAGUCAUGGACGAUGCCAUGGAAGGUAUACUCUCUCCCUCUCCCUACCAUGGUACUGCUCAAUGUGUCCACGACCAUUGAGCCGUGCUAGGUUCUAUGCUGCUGUCCAUGCCAAUUUAUAGCAUUUGGGGCUGUAGGUCAGUGAAUUUAUUUAGUAAUAAAUAAUUCUGUUGGUUCACACAAAACAGUUUGACUGUAGGUGUACAGAAUUAGCAAUGGAUCUCUAGGCUGGUGAUAACUAUGUAAAUUCGUUUCAGUGGAUUUGAGGCUGUAGUUUUGUUCCAAAGCGUGGUGAGCACCUUUAGGUUUGUUUGUUUCCUGUUGGAUGACUGAAACCAACUAGAGCUAAAUGUUUUGGUUUCAGAUCACUAAAACCUUUUUAGUUCAGUUUGCUAACUAAAUGGAGAAGAGAAAAGAAGUGGUACUGUCACUCACAAUUGCCCUUGAAUGCACAUCAGCACUUAGGCUACUCUCCAUAUAAUUUUAUUAAGCCAUGUUUUUCUGCAGGCUGUGUCAUAUAUUGUGGCGUCGUGAUUAGUCAUCAAUGACAACUAACACUCAUGCCGGUAUCUUUUCACAAUCAUAAUAGGGACGUAGCUCUUGCUAUAGUUGUAAGUUGUGAUCCUAAAUUUAAACUUGAUGAUGCUAAAAUUACAAAUGAAUUCUUGGUAGUGCAUGUCGAUAUGGCACUUGUGAAAACUGAAGAUUCGGUACGGAGUCGCAAAAGCUGCAAUACUCUCGAUAAUGCAGAAAAAAGAAGAUUGCAUAGCCUUCAACCUUUGUACAUUCAAAAGAUAUAUGGAUGAUUAUAAUGGUGCGUGGCAAGUAUAUUGCAAUGAUGAUGAUGUUCCGUUUCAUGAUGAUAAUGAUGUUCCGGUCCAUGAUGAUGAUGAUGGAUGCUAUCAGUUUUAGUUAAGUUGUAGGGAUGAUGUUUCUGUCGGAUGGUGUUCCCCGGUUAAGUUUAGUUAAGUUGUAGGGAUGUUGAAGGAUGCUUUUUAUGUAAGUUUCGCUGUCAAGAAAAUAUUUAGGUUAUGCAUCACAUUUCGAUGAUGUUUCCCUUGUAAUAUCAACCAUUGUAAUCCAACAGCUUUAUCCAAUAUAUGAUUUCUUUCUCUAA